GGAAGGACUGUAGCUCAGUGCUAGAGCAUAUGCUUGGAAUGCAGAAGCUUCUUGAUUCAAUCCCGGGCAUUUCCA